CCUACGGGAGGCAGCAGUGGGGAAUAUUGGACAAUGGGGGGAACCCUGAUCCAGCCAUGCCGCGUGUGUGAAGAAGGCCCUCGGGUUGUAAAGCACUUUCAGUGAGGAAGAACGCCUGGUGGUUAAUACCCAUCAGGAAAGACAUCACUCACAGAAGAAGCACCGGCUAACUCCGUGCCAGCAGCCGCGGUAAUACGGAGGGUGCGAGCGUUAAUCGGAAUUACUGGGCGUAAAGCGCGCGUAGGUGGCUUGAUAAGCCGGUUGUGAAAGCCCCGGGCUCAACCUGGGAACGGCAUCCGGAACUGUCAAGCUAGAGUGCAGGAGAGGAAGGUAGAAUUCCCGGUGUAGCGGUGAAAUGCGUAGAGAUUGGGAGGAAUACCAGUGGCGAAGGCGGCCUUCUGGACUGACACUGACACUGAGGUGCGAAAGCGUGGGUAGCAAACAGGAUUAGAUACCCCAGUAGUC
rnacentral:rRNA from 1 species